rnacentral:sRNA from 1 species
CGCACCACGAGGCGCUGUCU